CGGGGUGUGGCUAGGUGGUAAAGCACUUGCCUAGCAUGCGUGAGGCACUGGGUUUGAUUCUCAGUACCACAU
rfam:Ictidomys tridecemlineatus contig012161, whole genome shotgun sequence.